rnacentral:rRNA from 1 species
UUAAAUUGCUGUGGUAUUUUGACUAUACAGAGUUUUUUAAAUAAAAAUUUAAUUGAAUGCUAAAGAGAAUGGACUCUCAGAGAAAAACUUUUUUUAAAUUAAAAAUUGAAAUUUUUUUAAUUUGUGCAGAAACAAUUAUUAAUAUUAAGGACAAGAAGACCCUAUGAAUUUAUUAAAUUUCAUUCAAUAUGUAAUUACUAUUGAAGAAAUUUUGGCUGGGGCGGCUAAAAAAUAUUUUAAACUUUUUAAAAAUAAAAUGAUCCAUUAUUAAUGAUUAUAUGUUAAAUACUCUAGGGAUAACAGCGUUAUAUUUUUUGAUAGACCAUAUUGACAAAAAAGUUUGCGACCUCGAUGUUGGAUUAGGAUACUUUUUUAAUGCAGAUAUUAAAAAAAGAAGUUUGUUCAACUUUCAAUUUCCUACAUGAUCUGAGUUCAGACCGG